GGAAAACAGCAAGAAAGACUGACAACAAGAAUCACUACGGACAUGCACAUUAAUGAUGAAAUAAACCCAGCAUUUACAGUAUUAUGCUCAUUAGCAACUCUUUGUAAAAACAUGGUUGUCUUUUAGAUGACUUCAGCCUGAUAAUCAAAGUAAGCCUUGAUCUCAGCAAUCACAUUUUAUCCAAACUUUUACUUCAAUAUGACAAAACAUAGACAUCAAUCUAAUUACAAGAUAAAUGCUUUUUUUGACAUUGUCAUACUACAUAACUAGAACAUAUUGGCAGUGAUAGCUUAUGUAAUGUGUCUGAAAAAAAAAUAUGAGUCUGUUCUAGUAUGACCAGCAUUUUGGACUUUGCUCCAUGCUCCUGAGUGCAGUGUGGCGGGUACGAGUACAUUCUCUGAAUCAGGGCACAGAGAACAGCCACAACACAUAAUCAGGUCCCAAGUCCCAGCUCCCCAGACCUGCCAUCCUCAAGCUGUCCACCAGAUACCCUUGGACAUUCCCUCCUUUGCCCAUCACCUGACUUCCACACCCAACUACACACCUGUUCCCCCCAUCAUCUGCUCUGCAGGAACUCUCAGCGGUGGUUUCCGGACGGUAUUAUCAAGGUGACAAACGUGCUCUGAAGCAUCAGCCUGCCAUCACAGCCAGCAGCCGAUCAGGACAACCUCCGUGUGAAACCGUCGAUAUAUGUAAGCGUUUGUUUUAAGUAUAGAGUAUGAAAGACUGUAAACAGCACACAGAGCAGACGUUUGUUGUCGGUUCCCAGGAAUACAGUCGCCGAGUAGGCAACGCAGGAGCAGGUGUGUGAGAGGUGACUCUGCAGGUAACUGAAUCUUGACAGGGGAGGAGCUCCACGGAGACUUCACCGGGGGUGGGUCGACCGAUGGGAAGUUUUUCUCAGUCAAUUCGCUGUAAGUCUUCAUGAAAGAAAGGCGAUAGCUUGGAUGCAUGCCUGUAUUGCAACUCGCUCGUCUGCUUCAUUAACUUAACGCAUAACACAAAGCAACAGUAACGACCCACACUGAUUAUGCUACCCAGUCACCAUGCGGUGUGCUUUAUGAUGUAAGUUGUAGUAAAUCAUGGCAGUAAGGCUGUGAUUCCUAACCCUUUUGCCUUGUGACCCCUUUCAACGAAGCUAUAUCUACUUGUGACCCCACAUUACAAGCUGUAGUGUGUUCUCUAAGUGUGACUUUUCCUUCAGUUUGUUUUGGACGGGUUUCUGAAUUUUUGGAAAAGUAGGAAAAAGCAAAGAUUACAGAAGAGUCAUUUUAUUUUGUGUAAGAGAAUUAUUUAUUUUACUUUCUUUUAUCAUCUUGUGAACCUUUGACCACUGCUGUGAAGCACCAGCUCCCUAAGGAGACCUUAUAUGAGAUGCUCUGGGUGAACUUAUCUACAUUUAUAUGGCAAUAAAAACAGGUUAAUGAUUUACUAAUGCAAUUACAAAUAGGCCUAAAUAAAUUGUUAUAUGCAAACUCUUCAGUCGUGAAAUCAUUUAAAUUCCACAGGUUUACUUUGUGCUGCAAAGU